CGUAGGAAAAUCCUGGCACUCCCUCCCAAGUCAGGACAAAUGAAAUUAAUCUUCUGAUGAUUUUUCUAGGGUUCCAAGGAUUGAGAAAAUUAUGGGUUCUUGGAGGAUUGGAGUGAGUGAAUCUUCCCCUCCGCCUCUUCGCCUCAUCUGGCAAAGCAUCGUCCCAUUUAGCUCUGUUGCUCACAAUUACCAGAAAAAUAUUCGAAACCUAAAACCCUCAAAUCAGCAAAGCGAAUUCCCACACUUAAACUUCGAAACCAACAAAUCGAUUUCAAGUGUUAAGCGGCUAGGUUCUAGGUCUUCUAAUUCCGGCGAGCUGUUUUCUUACGAACGCCAGCAAACCGUACCGUGUCGUCGUCUUGCCUUCGUCUUCCAGUUUCGAAAUUUCAAUUUAAGCGGUCGAUGAAAGCAGAGUGGGUAAGAUCAGUUGCUCUGAAGCCUCAACCUCCAAACGCUACCCCAUCACUUUGCUUCCCGGCGAUGGCAUUGGCCUCAACCUCGCCCCCUCCAUCGAUCGUUUCUUUUAAUUCUGCUUCCGUUUUCUUCCUUUUCUCAAUUUUAUUUCAGGUGCCUGAGAAACGGGGGGAAAAUUAAAAGGAAAAGUCUUUUAAUUUUCCCAUAUUUUCUUUGGGUUAAUGUUUGACAAUUUGAGCUGCCCUGUGUGUUGUAUAAUCGAGAAAUUUUGUUGGGAAAUUAGUAAUUAUAUAACAUUUGGAUAUUUGUAUAACUGAAUAUGUUCACAUAAACUAGAGAUUGAUUUUAAGUAUGAAGAAGUACCUAUUGGUGGAGCUGGCUUAGAUUUGACUGGAGUGCCAUUACCUGAUGAGACCCUUUUGUCAGCUAAGCAAUCGACGCAAUUAUUCUUCUCGAAGCAGUUGGGCGUAGGUCAUGAUUGUACUUCUCAAUCCGUUUUAUUUCUUAAUGAUUAUCCUUUUCAAGUGAUAUAAUUUAGUUAAUUCGAUUAUGGUUUUUGUUUCAAAUUUUGGCUUCAAUCUCCUUACUUUGAUUCUAAUGAAUGAAGCGAAUUGUUCUCAAAAUUUCAAGUUUUUCAUGAAUAUGUUGCAUUUCUUUAAAGCAUGAUUUGAUUUUUUAUUGUAAUUUCAACAUUUUGGAUCUCUGUAUGCCUUUUUAUUAUAUUAUUGCUCAUUGGAUCGGAUUGAUUUGGUGUGCAGAAUUUGAAAUUUGUUGAGGGGGCCUAAUGUUACCAUUGAUGAAGUCUGCGCUUUUGGAAGGUAAGUAGUGAUAUUUAAUUAUUGUUUAUUGCAUUUUGUCAAAUUUUAUGGGAAAUUUUCUGAAUUAGGUGUGUGCUUGAUCCGAAAAAGUCUCAGAACAUUGCAAUUCUUGCUUAUUGCAUUGUGUCCAAUUUGGAAGGUAAGUUGUGAUUCUGUAAGGAUGUAUUGAAGGACCAUUUGUUUACUUCGUUAGUGGAAUUUCGUUAUUUAUGUAUUUCCGAUAUACUUGGUACAUUGAUAAUUAAGGUUUAAAUGUCAUAAGGUUCCCUUGGUUUAUGAUUGACAAAUAAGAAGGAAUUGAAGAAGUGGGUUUAGCCUUUUAGGUUAGUGGGGAGAACGGUUACAGAAUUGUACUUGUUGUUAUUGCAGGGAAAUGAAACAUAAUUGCCGCUUCUGCAAAAUUAUCGAGUGGUAGCAAAUUUGCAGAUUCCCUAUUCAAUUGAAGUAAUUUGUUUCGAAUUUUAUUUGUCUUCCUGUAAUUUUCUGAAAAAAGGGAUUGUUUUGUUGCAAAAAGCAAGGCUAUGCUCCCAUUUCUUCAAGACUUGAAGUUUUCUAUAUUCCCUGGCUUUAUCUUCGAAUUCAGGUAUUUUGUUAUUUGAUUGCGUUGUAUUUCUUGAUUUGAAUGAAAUGGAUGCAUCUAGUCCCGCAAUUAAACAUGAA